UAGAAACGGCGCUCCAGCUGCUGCUUUCCAAAAAAUAAAACGCAGAACAAGACCUUCCUCCUCCGAUUUCUCUAAGAGAACGGUGUCUUACUCAACAGACCCCUCUUCUUCUUCUUCCUCACUUUAGCCCAGAAACACUCUCUUCUCAGCCAUGUAAAUACCCAAAUUCUAGCUCCAAAACUCCGAAAAUCACAACUGAAAAAUCCGUCACAAACUUCAGCCAUGAAACAAUCUUGAAAUAGUCCCAAAAAUCAUGUGAAGAUUGGCUCCCUCCUUACCGAUCUGUUUUCUUUCUGUCUUGAGAUUCCGGGUAAAGCCAGAGGUCAAAGUUUGAGGUUGCGUUCGAGUCUUCGUUUAUAUAGCUGUCCGAGCUCAGUUGUUGCUUAAUUUCUGAGAUUCUCGAGCUGUGUUGGUAUAAGAAUUUGCUGUUUGUUGUUGUCCCUGUGCGCCGAGUUUCCUGCUUCUUCUCCUUACCUUUAUUUGGCUUUUGUCGUUCUGCUUUCCCCCUUGCAUUUAAGGUGUUCGAUCGUUGGAGUUGUCGUCCGAGGUGCGGCCCGUCGUUUCCGUUCGGACUGGAUUCGUUGUUUUGAACUUCAUUCGUGAGGUGUGGACUUACUUACCGGAGUUUGAGCAUGACAGACACCCCAGGACCAUCCAGUCAGGGUCGCUCAUUCUGGAGUUUGCUUAAGGGGAUUUUUUUUAGUUAUUAUGUUUUGAGUCUGUUGUUCUUUUUUAUGUCAUCUUUUACCUUUUAGAUUUGUAUAGUAAUGUCGAGUCAUUUAGGUGAUGUUAGAGUUUGUCAUAGUCUAGUUAAGUUUGCCGAGUCUUUUGUUAUUGUAUUUCCUAUUUUGUAUUUGGAAAAUGUGUUGUAAAUCAAAAAUCCAAAAAA